rnacentral:rRNA from 1 species
AGUGAACGCUGGCGGUAGGCCUAACACAUGCAAGUCGAACGGCCGCACAGUAAGAGCUUGCUCUUACGGGUGGCGAGUGGCGGACGGGUGAGGAAUACAUCGGAAUCUACUUUUUCGAGGGGGAUAACGUAGGGAAACUUACGCUACUACCGCAUACGACCUACGGGUGAAAGCAGGGGAUCUUCGGACCUUGCGCGAUUGAAUGAGCCGAUGUCGGAUUAGCUAGUUGGCGGGGUAAAGGCCCACCAAGGCGACGAUCCGUAGCUGGUCUGAGAGGAUGAUCAGCCACACUGGAACUGAGACACGGUCCAGACUCCUACGGGAGGCAGCAGUGGGGAAUAUUGGACAAUGGGCGCAAGCCUGAUCCAGCCAUACCGCGUGGGUGAAGAAGGCCUUCGGGUUGUAAAGCCCUUUUGUUGGGAAAGAAAAGCAGCAGGUUAAUACCCCGCUGUUCUGACGGUACCCAAAGAAUAAGCACCGGCUAACUUCGUG